UACGUAGGGUGCAAGCGUUGUCCGGAAUUAUUGGGCGUAAAGAGCUCGUAGGCGGUCUGUCGCGUCUGCUGUGAAAACUCAGGGCUUAACCCUGAGCUUGCAGUGGGGUACGGGGCAGACUAGAGUGCGGUAGGGGGAGACUGGAAUUCCUGGUGUAGCGGUGAAAUGCGCAGAUAUCAGGAGGAACACCGGUGGCGAAGGCGGGGUCUCUGGGCCGUAACUGACGCUGGAGGAGCGAAAGCAUGGGGAGCGAACAGG
rnacentral:rRNA from 1 species